GACGAACGCUGGCGGCGUGCUUAACACAUGCAAGUCGAACGGAAAGGCCCUGCUUUUGUGGGGUGCUCGAGUGGCGAACGGGUGAGUAACACGUGAGUAACCUGACCUUGAAUUUGGGAUAACUUCAGGAAACUGGGGCUACUACCGGAUAGGAGCUCCUGCUGCACGGUGGGGGUUGGAAAGUUUCGGCGAUCGGGGAUGGACUGGCGGCUUAUCCGCUUGUUUGUGGGGUAGUGGCUUACCAAGGCUUUGACGGGUAGCCGGCCUGAACGGGUGACCGCGCACAUUGGGACUUAGAUACGACCCCAACGCCUACGGGAGGCAGCAGUGGGGAAUAUUGCACAAUGGGCGGAAGCCUGAUGCGGCAACGCAGCGUGCGGGAUGACGGCCUUCGGGUUGUAAACCGCUUUCGCCUGUGACGAAGCGUGAGUGACGGUAAUGGGUAAAGAAGCACCGGCUAACUACGUG
rnacentral:rRNA from 1 species